rnacentral:rRNA from 1 species
ACCUUUUGUAUAAUGGGUCAGCGACUUAUAUUCUGUAGCAAGGUUAACCGAAUAGGGGAGCCGAAGGGAAACCGAGUCUUAACUGGGCGUUAAGUUGCAGGGUAUAGACCCGAAACCCGGUGAUCUAGCCAUGGGCAGGUUGAAGGUUGGGUAACACUAACUGGAGGACCGAACCGACUAAUGUUGAAAAAUUAGCGGAUGACUUGUGGCUGGGGGUGAAAGGCCAAUCAAACCGGGAGAUAGCUGGUUCUCCCCGAAAGCUAUUUAGGUAGCGCCUCGUGAAUUCAUCUCCGGGGGUAGAGCACUGUUUCGGCAAGGGGGUCAUCCCGACUUACCAACCCGAUGCAAACUGCGAAUACCGGAGAAUGUUAUCACGGGAGACACACGGCGGGUGCUAACGUCCGUCGUGAAGAGGGAAACAACCCAGACCGCCAGCUAAGGUCCCAAAGUCAUGGUUAAGUGGGAAACGAUGUGGGAAGGCCCAGACAGCCAGGAUGUUGGCUUAGAAGCAGCCAUCAUUUAAAGAAAGCGUAAUAGCUCACUGGUCGAGUCGGCCUGCGCGGAAGAUGUAACGGGGCUAAACCAUGCACCGAAGCUGCGGCAGCGACGCUUAUGCGUUGUUGGGUAGGGGAG